rnacentral:lncRNA from 1 species
GAGAAACGAGAAGCCAUACGGCAGCUUUGCAUUUUGAUUGAUUAUCACCGCGUCCGAUACGACGGCAUAAUCGAAAGCUUACUCUCCAAAGUUCCAGGCAGACGGCAGAGGGCAACUGCUUAGACAGAGAGCCUCUUAUCUCCAUUCUUCUCAAAUUUUUACCCUUCAUAUGCACUAUCAGUCAUUUUUUCGAUUGUUUGUUUUUUUUGGCCUCUCAAGUGGCAGUGUUCAUAUCUGAACAUAAGGUUUUUCUUUUCUUCUUACUGAACAUUUCUAGUCAGUACAUAAUAAUCGAAGGAUUGGCUUGUUUGCAACUCCAGAAAUGUUCAGUGUAUGAAACCCAGCCAUCUACUCUGUCCAGAACUCUCCUUCCUCCAAAU